rnacentral:rRNA from 1 species
UCGUAGUUGGAUACGAAUAGGCCUUCGGGUCACGCACCUCAGCAGGCUGGCGACGGCGACCCGGGAGAAGCCCCGGGUCGCUGGCUAGCGGAUUGCAAUGUCACCACGCGCGGGGAUUAAUCCUCUGCAGACGACUUAUGUGACCAAGCGGGUCAUGUACGCGUACGAGUAGCCUAGUUGUUACGAGUCGCUUAGUGUCAGCCCGACCUUUGCUCGAUUU